ACAUUUGGUUUCUUCUUCAAUCAGUGCCAGGAUCAUUGCCAUGGUGAGCAAGAAAUGUGAUGCUUGGUGCCGUCCUAGGAGCAGCAUUGGGUUUUCCAUUUGGGUGGGCGCAUUUGAAGCUGGUAGAGAAAGCAAAUGAAGGGAACCCGUCUACACAUCCUGAUUCAGAUCAAAGAGAAGCAAGGAGUGGAGUUGGUGCAGCAAUUGAAAGGCUUGAAGAAAAUUUGAAUAAGUAGAACAGAAAAUUGAGCAAGGCUUGAAGAUCUCCCUAUUGUCCGGUGAGAAGAGAGAAGGAUGAAAAUCUCAGAGAAAGAGCAUAGGCCUUGUUUCGUUUAUUGAGGAAUAAGAACACUCUAGUAACAAUUUCACAAUAUUUUGAAGGAUUUUUCAAUUAAUUUUCCAAUUUAUGAAGCAGAAUAACAAAUUUUCUUUGUUUGA